rnacentral:rRNA from 1 species
UACAGAGGGGGCAAGCGUUGUUCGGAAUUACUGGGCGUAAAGGGCGCGUAGGCGGCCGCCUAAGUCAGACGUGAAAUCCCUCGGCUCAACCGGGGAACUGCGUCUGAUACUGGGUGGCUUGAAUCCGGGAGAGGGAUGCGGAAUUCCAGGUGUAGCGGUGAAAUGCGUAGAUAUCUGGAGGAACACCCGUGGCGAAGGCGGCCAGCUGGGCCGUUCCUGACGCUGAGGCGCGAAGGCGUGGGGAGCGAACGGG